rnacentral:rRNA from 1 species
UACGUAGGGGCUAGCGUUGUCCGGAAUCAUUGGGCGUAAAGAGCGCGUAGGCGGCCAGAUAAGUCCGGUGUGAAAGUCACAGGCUCAACCUGUGAAUGCCGCUGGAAACUGUCUGGCUAGAGUCCGGAAGAGGAGAGUGGAAUUCCUGGUGUAGCGGUGAAAUGCGCAGAUAUCAGGAAGAACACCCGUGGCGGAAGGCGGCUCUCUGGGACGGUACUGACGCUGAGACGCGAAAGCGUGGGGAGCGAACAGG